CUACUGACCCAAUGUGCCCCCUUCCAGGCUGCCAUCACUUGGAUAGCUCACUCCACAUGCUCUCGCGAGUGAGUGAGCUCAGGCUGCCAGAACCAUAUCAUCUCCAACAUGAAAACCGAACGCCAUAACAUUGCAGGCAGAAUGAUUACAAAAGCACUCAGCAAAAGCCCUGUAGGAGCAGGCCUGGUCUACACAGACAUUGGAAGCGAUUUCAAAC
rnacentral:lncRNA from 1 species